UACAGAGGGUGCGAGCGUUGUCCGGAAUCACUGGGCGUAAAGGGCGCGUAGGCGGCUUGAUAAGGUUGCGGUGAAAGCCCGGGGCUCAACCCCGGGUCGGCCGUGGCAACUGUCGAGCUGGAGCACUGUAGAGGCAGGUGGAAUUCCGGGUGUAGCGGUGGAAUGCGUAGAGAUCCGGAAGAACACCGGUGGCGAAGGCGGUCUGCUGGGCAGUUGCUGACACUGAGGCGCGACAGCGUGGGGAGCAAACAGGG
rnacentral:rRNA from 1 species